UAAAGAGAAUACUAUGAGCACUUAUUAAAGCUACACUGUGUAAGAAUUUCUCCCAUCUAGCGGUGAAAUUGUAUAUGACAACCAACAGAAUAUUACUUUCUAGCCCCUUC